rnacentral:rRNA from 1 species
UACGAAGGGGGCUAGCGUUGUUCGGAUUUACUGGGCGUAAAGCGCGUGUAGGCGGGUCGCUAAGUUGGGGGUGAAAUCCCGAGGCUCAACCUCGGAACUGCCUUCAAAACUGGCGACCUGGAGCAAGAUAGAGGCGAGUUGAAUUGCGAGUGUAGAGGUGAAAUUCGUAGAUAUUCGCAGGAACACCAGUGGCGAAGGCGACUCGCUGGAUCGUUGCUGACGCUGAGACGCGAAAGCGUGGGGAGCAAACAGG